rnacentral:rRNA from 1 species
UGGGGAAUUUUGGACAAUGGGGGAAACCCUGAUCCAGCCAUCCCGCGUGUGCGAUGAAGGCCUUCGGGUUGUAAAGCACUUUUGGCAGGAAAGAAACGUCAUGGGUUAAUGCCCCGUGAAACUGACGGUACCUGCAGAAUAAGCACCGGCUAACUACGUGCCAGCAGCCGCGGUAAUACGUAGGGUGCAAGCGUUAAUCGGAAUUACUGGGCGUAAAGCGUGCGCAGGCGGUUCGGAAAGAAAGAUGUGAAAUCCCAGAGCUCAACUUUGGAACUGCAUUUUUAACUACCGGGCUAGAGUGUGUCAGAGGGAGGUGGAAUUCCGCGUGUAGCAGUGAAAUGCGUAGAUAUGCGGAGGAACACCGAUGGCGAAGGCAGCCUCCUGGGAUAACACUGACGCUCAUGCACGAAAGCGUGGGGAGCAAACAGG